GAUGAACGCUAGCUACAGGCUUAACACAUGCAAGUCGAGGGGAAACGAUGAGAGAGCUUGCUCUCUUAGUCGUCGACCGGCGCACGGGUGAGUAACGCGUAUCCAACCUGCCUCUGACCAAGGGAUAACCCGUCGAAAGUCGGACUAAUACCUUAUGCAGUCGUCGGAAGUCAUCUGAUGACGACGAAAGAUUUCAUCGGUGAGAGAUGGGGAUGCGUCUGAUUAGCUUGUUGGCGGGGUAACGGCCCACCAAGGCGACGAUCAGUAGGGGUUCUGAGAGGAAGGUCCCCCACAUUGGAACUGGGACCCGGUCCAAACUCCUACGGAAGGCAGCAGUGAGGAAUAUUGGUCAAUGGGCGUAAGCCUGAACCAGCCAAGUAGCGUGCAGGAGGACGGCCCUAUGGGUUGUAAACUGCUUUUAUGCGGGGAUAAAGUGAGGGACGUGUCCUUCAUUGCAGGUACCGCAUGAAUAAGGACCGGCUAAUUCCGUG
rnacentral:rRNA from 1 species